GACAGUCCAUUGACUCAGGUGGGAUUGUUCUGAAGCUGAACACCACAGAUUGUGGAGUUGUUCCUGGAGGGAAUGGGUCUUAAUCUUCAGGACAACCCUCUGGAAAAACUAAAGCCCUUGUGUUGUCUUUGUGGAGUUCCUGGUGAAAACCACCAGUGCUGCCUCCCCACAGAACUGUAUUCCACCUUUCAGAUCACCCCAGAAAAAGGAC
rnacentral:lncRNA from 1 species